CAGAACUACACAGGGCGGCGCACAGGUCGCGAGUUCUCUUCUGCCUCGCCUUUCCUUCCCCGCUUGCGCGCCCGCCCCAGCUAUCAUGGCGGCUCCCUUGGCCCUGGUGCUGGUGGUGGCCGUGACCGUGCGGGCGGCCUUGUUCCGCUCCAGUCUGGCCGAGUUGAUCUCGGAGCGGGUGGAGGUGGUGUCCCCACUGAGUUCUUGGAAGAGAGUGGUCGAAGGCCUCUCUCUGCUGGACUUGGGAGUGUCUCCGUAUUCUGGAGCAGUAUUUCAUGAAACUCCAUUAAUAAUAUACCUCUUUCAUUUCCUGAUUGACUAUGCUGAAUUGGUGUUUAUGAUAACUGAUGCAAUCACUGCCAUUGCCCUGUAUUUUGCAAUCCAGGACUUCAAUAAAGUUGUGUUUAAAAAGCAGAAGCUCCUCCUGGAACUAGACCAGUAUGCCCCAGAUGUGGCCGAACUCAUCCGUACCCCUAUGGAAAUGCGCUACAUCCCUCUGAAAGUGGCCCUGUUCUAUCUCUUAAAUCCCUACACGGUCUUGUCUUGUGUUGCCAAGUCUACCUGCGCCAUCAACAACGCCCUCAUUGCUUUCUUCAUUUUGACCACGAUAAAAGGUAGUGCCUUCCUCAGUGCUAUCUUUCUUGCCUUAGCAACAUACCAGUCUCUGUACCCACUCACCUUGUUUGUCCCAGGACUCCUCUAUCUCCUCCAGCGGCAGUACAUACCUGUGAAAGUGAAGAGCAAAGCCUUCUGGAUCUUCUUUUGGGAGUAUGCCAUGAUGUACACAGGAAGCCUAGUGGUAAUCGUUUGCCUGUCCUUCUUCCUUCUCAGCUCCUGGGAUUUCAUCCCUGCAGUCUAUGGCUUCAUACUUUCUGUUCCAGAUCUCACUCCAAACAUUGGUCUCUUCUGGUACUUCUUUGCAGAGAUGUUUGAGCACUUCAGCCUUUUCUUUGUAUGUGUGUUUCAGAUCAACGUCUUCUUCUACACCAUCCCCUUGGCCAUAAAGCUAAAGGAGCACCCUGUCUUCUUCAUGUUCAUCCAGAUUGCCAUCAUCUCCAUCUUCAAGUCCUACCCGACAGUGGGGGAUGUGGCCCUCUACAUGGCGUUCUUCCCCGUGUGGAACCAUCUCUACAGAUUCCUGCGGAACAUCUUUGUCCUCGCCUGCAUCAUUAUUGUCUGCUCCCUGCUCUUCCCUGUCCUGUGGCACCUCUGGAUUUACGCAGGAAGUGCCAACUCCAAUUUCUUUUAUGCCAUCACACUGACCUUCAACAUUGGGCAGCGCUAGGCAUCCCAAGCUUGUCUCUCACAGGCCCUUCCCCACCCCCUCUUCCCCCACAACCAGAGUGACAUGAAAAGCCUGGGCUAAGUACGGGGGGACAAGGCCAGCAGGAAGGCCUGGGCUUUGGAGGCCCGAACUCCACAGUGACCCCAGCCCCAUCCUUGUCCAGCUCACUGGCCUUGGAUCCUGCUCAUCUCCGAUUACUUCUAUGCCUUCCUGCGGCGGGAGUACUACCUCACACAUGGUCUCUACUUGACCGCCAAGGACGGCACAGAGGCCAUGCUUGUGCUCAAGUAGGCCUGGCUGAGCACAGAGCUGCACAGACUUCAGGGGGUGAAAGGGCCAGAAGCUGAGCCAAGCCCUCGAGCCCGAGUUGCCAGCAGGCAAGUCCUAAGGCAGAUGAGGUUUGAAUCCAGGGUCACGAGUAUCUCGCACCAGUGGAAAGCCAAGACUGGCACUCAGGCCUGUGGGGAGCAGCCAGGAGCAUCUCCCCUUGGACCUCCCCCCCCAUUUUGUGGCUCUGCACACCAAGGAGCCCCCUCCCAAGCAGGAAAGGGGAAGAAGCAGGUGAGCAGGGUUUGUUACAUUGUGGCUACUUAAUAAAUGUUUUUUGUUAUGAAAAAGUC